UACGGGGGGGGCAAGCGUUGUUCGGAAUUACUGGGCGUAAAGGGCUCGUAGGCGGCCAACUAAGUCCGACGUGAAAUCCCCAGGCUUAACCUGGGAACUGCGUCGGAUACUGGAUGGCUUGAAUUCGGGAGAGGGAUGCAGAAUUCCAGGUGUAGCGGUGAAAUGCGUAGAUAUCUGGAGGAAUACCGGUGGCGAAGGCGGCAUCCUGGACCGACAUUGACGCUGAUGAGCGAAAGCUAAGGGGAGCAAACGGGG
rnacentral:rRNA from 1 species